AAUGAACGUUGGCGGCGUGGAUUAGGCAUGCAAGUCGAGCGAGAAUUUGCGAUUGGAAGCUUCGGCCGAAGAAAGUGAAGGAAAGCGGCAAAUGGCGUAGUAAGGCGUAGGUACGUACCCUCAGGUCGGGAAUAGCCAUGGGAAACUGUGGGUAAUGCCCGAUAAUCUCUGCGGAGCAAAGGUGUGAUUCCGCCGGAGGAGCGGCUUACGUGAUAUUAGCUAGUUGGUGGGGUAAUGGCCUACCAAGGCGAUGAUGUCUAGGGGGUGUGAGAGCAUGGCCCCCACGACCGGAACUGAGACACUGUCCGGACACCUACGGGUGGCUGCAGUCGAGAAUCUUCCGCAAUGGGCGAAAGCCUGACGGAGCGACGCCGCGUGGUGGAUGAAGGCCCUUGGGUUGUAAACACCUGUCAGAGGGGAUGAAAUCAUGGUUGGCAAUCCUUCCAUGUUGACAGAGCCUCAGAGGAAGCACGGGCUAAGUACGUGCCAG
rnacentral:rRNA from 1 species